UGAGGAAUAUUGGUCAAUGGGCGCAAGCCUGAACCAGCCAUCCCGCGUGCAGGAAGACGGCCCUAUGGGUUGUAAACUGCUUUUCCAGGGAGAGAAACUUGCGUACGCGUUGCGCAAUUGACGGUACCCUGGGAAUAAGCAUCAGCUAACUCCGUGCCAGCAGCCGCGGUAAUACGGAGGAUGCGAGCGUUAUCCGGAUUCAUUGGGUUUAAAGGGUGCGUAGGCGGACUAUUAAGUCAGUGGUGAAAUCCUGCAGCUUAACUGCAGAACUGCCAUUGAUACUGAUAGCCUUGAGUUUGGUUAAGGUAGGCGGAAUGUGUAAUGUAGCGGUGAAAUGCUUAGAUAUAACACAGAACACCAAUUGCGAAGGCAGCUUACUGGGAUACAACUGACGCUGAGGCACGAAAGCGUGGGGAUCAAACA
rnacentral:rRNA from 1 species